rnacentral:rRNA from 1 species
CCUACGGGGAGCUGCAGUGGGGAAUAUUGCACAAUGGGGGAAACCCUGAUGCAGCGACGCCGCGUGAGUGAAGAAGUAAUUCGUUAUGGAAAGCUCUAUCAGCAGGGAAGAAAAUGACGGUACCUGAGUAAGAAGCCCCGGCUAACUACGUGCCAGCAGCCGCGGUAAGACGGAGGGGGCAAGCGUUAUCCGGAUUUAAUGGGUGUAAAGGGAGCGGAGACGGCAGUGCAAGUCUGGAGUGAAAGGCGGGGGCGCAACCCCCGGACUGCUCUGGAAACUGUACGGAUGGAGUGCAGGAGGGGUAAGUGGAAAUGCUAGUGUAGCGGUGAAAUGCGUAGAUAUUAGGAGGAACACCAGUGGCGAAGGCAGCUUACUGGACUGUAACUGACGUUGAGGCUCGAAAGCGUGGGGAGCAAACAGGAUUAGAUACCCGAGUAGUC